GUGGCCACCCUCGUUGCUGUGGGACAUCUGUGCAAAUGUCUUCUCCCACUUUCCAAAAGAGCAAGCAGCACUCCACCCACCAGUGUGACUCUCAACCCAUGUAAA
rnacentral:lncRNA from 1 species